rnacentral:rRNA from 1 species
UACGUAGGGACCAAGCGUUGUUCGGAUUUACUGGGCGUAAAGGGCGCGUAGGCGGCGUGUUAAGUCACUUGUGAAAUCUCUAAGCUUAACUUAGAACGGUCAAGUGAUACUGACGUGCUAGAGUGCAGAAGGGGCAACCGGAAUUCUUGGUGUAGCGGUGAAAUGCGUAGAUAUCAAGAGGAACACCUGAGGUGAAGACGGGUUGCUGGGCUGACACUGACGCUGAGGCGCGAAAGCUAGGGGUAGCAAACGGG